CUGUCAUAUAUGUAUUUGUUACUAAUGAUUUUUAGAGUAUCUAUAGUACAACUUUUGUAGUAAAUGUAUAUUUCCUUGUACGCCAAGAAACUUGGCAAUCAUGGCUAAAAUGGAACUAUUAGGGUAAAAUGCAUUUAUUUGAUUUUUGAAGAAAAUAUGUCAGAUCUGUACAAAGAACAUUUAGAUAUCAUUUUUAAGGCACUCACUAAUAUAUAUAUUGAAAAGCAAAAAUGAUUAUUGAUGAAAAAUUUAAGCAAAGAAAGUUCUACUAUUCAGCUUGAAUUGAUAAUAUUGUACGAAUAACACCUCCAC
rnacentral:lncRNA from 1 species